UCUCUCUCUCUCUCUCUCUCUCUCUCUCUCUCUCUCUCUCUCUCUCUCUCUCUCUCUCGGCAGUGUUUUUAAAGUGUUGUAUUUCUGUUGUUUCUUUUCUUUUCUUUUGUUUUCUUUUGCUAAUUAACUUUGUACUCUUUAACAAUUGUUUUUUCUUGUUUGUUUGUUUUGUUGUUGUUGUUCAGAAGAUGUUAAGAACGGUAGAGAUCAGGGUUACGUUCAUCACUGUGCCAAAUCUUAACAUCUGGGCCAGGAAAACAAUUAGACGAAGACUGGGCCAGGAAAACAAUUAGAUGAAGACUGGGCCAGGAAAACAAUUAGACGAAGACUGGGCCAGGAAAACAAUUAGAUGAAGACUGGGCCAGGAAAACAAUUAGAGGAAGACUGGGCCAGGAAAACAAUUAGACGAAGACUGGGCCACGAAAACAAUUAGACGAGGACUGGACCAAAAAUAAUAUAGAUAAAAAAAAACAGAAAAUUAAUGGUAAAAAUUAAAAAAAAAAACGAGUAAUUAUAGAGGCAGAGAUUAGGCCAAACAGAAGAAAACACUACUUAUUAUAGAUACUCAUUAUGGAGGCUUUUUAUAGAUAUCUAAACUGGACCUUAAUAAAGAAAACAAUAUCAAUACAACUUGAACACAACGAGGAUAUUGUUUGUUAUAGAUUUCUGUGUCAUGAGCUUGCUUGUGUGUGUGUGUGUGUGUGUGUGUGUGUGUGU